AUGCUUAUCUAUUUAUUUUUGGCUUAUUUAUUUCUGUGAGAGGGCUCCUAUCGGUCGCUGGCAGGUCGCACAAUUCCAAUUUCCAGCCUCGCUCCACACCUAAAAUGCAGAAUGGGUCUAAUAAUGGCCUUUCGCUCUAUCAGCCUCUUCUCCCCCUCCGCUGACACUUUCUUUACCUUUGGCUCCACGAGUCAGUGCUUCAUUGUAUUCUUCAAAGCUGGGAGAUAGGUCAAAUAGACAGACUUUUGACAUUUCGUGUGAAGAAAUGCAGUGCCGUCCGAAGAUUAAGUUGGCCAUUCAGCUGCCCAUAGCUGGGAGGACACGCACAUUCAGCCUCACGAGGGCAUUGUUAAGUUAGCGCUUUGAUACUCCGGCUAAAUAGUUUUGGGGACCUUGCGGAAUGUAAUUUCCAAGAGCCGCCCCGAGAGUCCGGCGAGGUUGUGGGAAUUGGUAAACACGCGGCGCGGGCCGAGUCCCCGCGGCCCCACGGCGCCUGAGAGAAAGGUCCAGAAGAAAGUCUGUCAGACCAACAAACUUCUCGCCUCCCAUCCUGUCAGUCACGCCUACACGCAUCCUGACUCAUCACAGUCCCUGCUUUGCGCUUCUUUAAAGAAGAUUAUUGCUGCAGAGCUCACAGAUGAUGGAUAAAGAUAAGCAAGAGACGAGGAGGAGAAGGAAGCGUGACAAAGGUCACUGGGUGGAUUUUUCCUUUAAGGCAAUCAGUAUAUGAAAUGUGUAUUAGGCCCUGAUGAUACUUUGUAAAUGUCAGUUAGUCUUCAGGGCUGUUAGACUUUGAUUAUUUCAUCUCCAGUGACACAGUUUGUUUAAGAAAACUUUCUUGCAACACGAAAUUGAGUCACAACAUUAAAUCUUGUUAUAGUGCAAAGCUUUUAUGCUAACGUUAGUAUUUAUAAGGAUGCUUUUAGUAUUUUUUUUACUUAAAUUCUGAACAAUUUUUACAUCCGUAGAAGUUUCUUUUAGUGCCUGAAGAGUAGAAUUUCUUUUACGAACUUACUCAGUUUUAUUGCAGUUUGACGAUGUGGUAAUGUUGUUGCGCUGUAAUAUACUUUUCACAAAAGUUAAAAUGUAAAAGCCGAAACAAAAUGGGAUGAAAUUCGUCUCGCUUUGAAUAACAAUGGCUGUAAACAACAGAAAAAAUAGAAAUUAAACAUUUAAAUCCAAUAACCGAAGUUAGCAGAGAGCGUCAUACUUCACAACAGAUAAUAGCAUGGUUGCAACAGAUUUGCUGCCUGAAUUGAAGCAUUUUAGCAAAAUGUUUUUACCCACAAACCAGUAGUGAAACGACUUUUAGCCCUGAGCAGCGUUGUUUUCCUCUGACUCGACAGUUAAUGAGUAAAUCAACCUGAAACUGUGCAAGCGAGCGGGACAAAAAUGGGCUUUAAUAAGGCGACAGGCCGCCUCCAUGCCCAGUGAAAUUACAACCUUAUGGUCAUAUGCUAAUAGCAGGCAGAGAUUGAACAAAUUUGGCUGC
rnacentral:lncRNA from 1 species